UUCUUAGAAACUCCUAGAUUCUUUUGAGAUUCAAUGAACUUUUCAAAGGCAUGUUUCAAUCUCGAGUGUGCCCUCCAAGUUUUGUGACUGGGAUGUCGAGGAUCACAAAACGAGGUGUGAAGUAACCAUGCAAAUCACUUGGUACCCUUAAAGUUUAUCACUCAAUCGAUGUGCCGGUAAACCACACACGCUCCAUCGAUACUAUAAUAAACCUUAAGUCACCCUUUACCUACCUUGUUAAGUCCAAGUUAGUGUGCCGGUUAACCACACACGCUCCACCAACGACUUAAACAAAGUGUAAAGUGUAAUUUCAUGGAUUAGCACCUUAUUCACAUUUUCCCUAAAGUAACUAAGAUUGGGAAUUUAAUAAAACAUUUAGUUACUUUAUAAUAUUCAUCAUACUUUUAAUGAGAAUUUAUAAGUCCUUGUCUUACCCGUUCGGCUAACGACCCUCCACCAGUCAAGCAAGCGGUGGGUGAGAGUGGACACCCAUUAAGUUGCCAUUUUAUAGGCAACAACCUUAUACCCACCUUAUAGACUAGCUUCGUGAAUGAGGCGUACUAGCGGUAAGACGACUUUGUUCUUAUACAUAUAUAUAUAAUUAUUAAAUCAUAAUAAUAUAAGUAUAAGGGUUGAAUUUUAACUUUUAAAAUUCUAAGGGUUGGAACUAAAUUUUUAAUCAAGACUUUACUUGUUCCAAAACUUGAGGGCAAGUUUUGUAAACUUUUAAAACUUUUAAUUUCUUGUAACUUAUGAGUUAUAGAGUAUUAGAAAUGAAGACUCUUCAUUUUUAUAACCGAUGUGUUCUUUUAAAGAUUUUUAAGCAAAGUGAGUUUUGGUUUUCUAUAACUUGAGGACGAGUUAUGGACUCCAUUAAAACACAUAAUGAUCAUGAAUUAAUCUACCACAUAGGUUACAAAUAAUUUCUAUGAUCAUCUAAACAUCAUAAGAUCAAGAACAUGAAUAUGAACACUUACAUGAAUCAAAAAUUACACUUAAAACUUUGUAAUUUUGAUAACUAGUUGUUGUAAAUGGAUUAGCAAAGACAUUACACCAUCUAAAACAAGUUUUCAAGUACCAAAACAGUUUAGGGUAAUGUUCCUACUCCAUUUCCAGCAACUAAAGUCGAAAAACUGCAUUCUAAGCCUCCUACUCGCCGAGUGCAUGAACCUACUCGGUGAGUAGGUUGAAGAUUCACAUGAACUCAGGGAGUCCCCCCAUGGACUCAGCGAGUUCAUCAGGCAGACUGCACAAAAUCGACUAAUUCGAACUAUUUAGCACAAAUAGCAAACAAACAAGCCUAGUCUCUGAUACCACUUAUGGGUUUUGAGCAUUCUAACACAUCCUAAGUGUACAUGCAACCCUAAUAGCCUUGGAUCAAUGUUUGUCUAAUAAUCAUGCAAAGUUGUUUUUCCAAGGUUAUGAACCUAUCUAGCAUACAUGGGGAACAAUUUUUCUUUGUAUAAAAGAUAGAACUACAUACCUUGUUGAUGAAAGUGUUCCUUGAAACCUUGUGAGCCUAGCACCUCAAGUGUGAUGCCUCAAAUGCUUCACACAACACCAAAUGCAAAGUAUAAACUUGAGAGAAUACUCUAACACACUCAAAAUCGGCCAAGCCCUCUUGUUUCACUAAGUGUAACCGAUUUUGGGGAGAGACAUGGUCCUUAUAUAGUGUGUUGUAUUAGGUAAAACCCUAAUGUAACAUGACUCUUCAUUUCUCAAUCCAUGGGUUAACUCCAUGGAGCAUCCUAUGGGUGUAACCCAACUUCAUAAUCCAUGGAGCCUCUUAGCCCACUAUAAAAGAUAUGGAAGAUUUACAUAAUCUACCCAUAUAUUUAAUUAGUUAUCUUUUUGAUCACUUAAUUAAUUCUAAAUUAAUUCUUGAUUAGAACUAAUUAAAUAAUAUUAUUAAUAUAUUAGAACUUAUAAUAUAUUAAUAAACCAUAUGUGUUAUUUCUCUCAUUUAGUUUAUCCAAUUGCAUGGUGCCAUGCAACCCAAAUGGACCAUGUCGGGUCGGGUCAAGUACAUACCAGAAAUAGUUAUGGACUUAGACACCUUAUCCAACAGNUAUUAUUAAUAUAUUAGAACUUAUAAUAUAUUAAUAAACCAUAUGUGUUAUUUCUCUCAUUUAGUUUAUCCAAUUGCAUGGUGCCAUGAAACCCAAAUGGACCAUGUCGGGUCGGGUCAAAUACAUACCAGAAAUAGUUAUUGACUUAGACACCUUAUCCAACACAUAUAAUACCAAAAAGCUAACGGUACUCCCACUAGCCUUGACAUAUACACAAGAUUCAUCUUCAUUCCUAGAAAAGCCAAAUUCUUUAACCCAUAAAUGGAUUUCUCAAGCUUACACACUCUAUUAGGGUACUCUGUGUUGACAAAACCCUCUGUCUGACUCAUGUAAACAUCAUCAGCCAAUUUUCCAUUAAGGAAAGCGGUUUUGACAUCCAUUUUCCAUAUUUCAUAGUCAUGAAAUGCAGCUAUAGCUAACAGAACCCUAAUAGACUUAAUAUUGGCCACUGGAGAAAAUGUCUCAUCAUAAUCAACACUCGGAGUUUGUGAGAAACCCUUUGCAACCAGUCGUGCCUUAUAAGUGUGUACCUUACCAUUCAUGUCGGUUUUCUUCUUGAAGAUCGAUUUUCACCCUACAGUCUUAUGACCUGGUACACUCUCAACCAAGUUCCAAACUUGAUUGUCAUACAUGGAUUAUAUCUCGUUGUCCAUUGCCUUUUUCCAUUUGGCUGACUCAGGGCCUGCCAUGGCUUCUGCGUAACUGUUAGUUUCAUCCAGACCUAUCAGUGUCUCAUCACUGAUAAGUGUAUCACCUUCCGUAGUAAUAUGGAAUCCAUAUUAAUUCUCAGGUGCAUUCCUAACCCUUGUGGAAUGCCUUAGAGGUACAGACUUGUCAAUUGGCUCAACAGGAGUUUCCUCCUCAAGUUGAGUGAUAGCGUUUGAAGUUUCUUCACCACUUGACUCUUGAAUUUCUUCAAGGUCAACUUGCUUCCCAUUGUCUCCUUGUCUUAUGAACUCUCUCUCUCGAAAGACAACCCUCCUAGCUACAAAGACCACAUUUUCUCUAGGUCUGUAGAAGAGGUAACCAAAGGAUUGUUGUGGGUAGCCGAUGAAAAUACACAUCCCGCUUCAAGGUUCGAGCUUAUCAUGAGUCUGGCGUCUCAUGAAAGCCUCGCAACCCUAAAUAUUGAUGUGGUCUAGUUUGGGUACUUUACCAAUCCACAUCUCAUGAGGAGUUUUGGAAACUUUCUUUCUAGGGACUAGAUUAAGGAUAUGGGCGGUAGUCUCUAAGGCAUACCCCCAAAAUAAGAUUGGUAGCGAAGCUCGACUCAUCAUGGAACGAACCAUAUCCAACAUGGUUCGAUUACGCCUCUCAGCUACAUCAUUCAACUGCAAUGUCCUGGGAGGUGUCAAUUGUAAGACAAUCCCACAUUCCCUAAGAUAGUCGAGGAACUCUGAACUAAGAUACUCACCACCUCGAUCGGAUCGAAGCAUCUUAAUGUUCCUCCCCAAUUGAUUCUCGACUUCCUAUUUAAAUUCUUUAAACCUUUAGAAAGUCUCUGACUUACGCUUGAUUAACUAGACAUAUCCAUAUCUACUAUAAUCAUCAGUAAAAGUCAAAUAAUAACGAUUAGCAUCCCUUGUGGCAUCUUUGAAGGGUCCACACACAUCUGUGUGUACAAGAUCCAACAAUCCUUCACCCCUCUCACAAGAACCUGUGAAGGGUGACUUUGUCAUUUUUCCAAGUAAGCAUGAUUCGCAACUAUCAUCUGACUUUAGGUCAAAUGACUCCAAGACUCCUUCCUUUUGGAGUUGGCCUAUGCGUUUCUUGCUUAUAUGUCCAAGACGACAAUGCCAUAAUGAAGCUUUAUCCAAGUUAUUAUUAUUAUUAAUAGAAUCAAUACACAUCGCAUUAUUUCUAGAGUUAUCUACAACAGACACAGCUUCAUACACACCAUCACAAGGUAAUGCUUUAAAAUAAAGAACAUUAUUAAAGAAAGCAUUAAUCGAACCAACUUCAUUAUCAAAUGAAAAGGUGAUACCUUUUUUAUAGAACGCAUGAAAGGAAAUAAUGUUUCUUGCCAUUUCUGGCGAAUAACAACAUUUAUUCAAAUCUAAAUUAAACCCACUACUUAGUGUUAAAGUAAAAACUCCAAUCUUGGUGACAUGUAAAGCUUUCCUAUUCCCCAUGAUUAAGUUUAUUCUUCCAUGCUCCACAUUCUCACUUCUUCUUAGUCCCUGCAAAUCAGAACAAAUAUGAAUACCACAACCGGUAUCAAGGACCCAAGAGUUAGAAUGAGGUGAGUUAUUAGAUAAGAUAGUGUAAAUACCUGCAUGGUUAGGUUAAACUUUCCCAUCCUUCAAAUCUUGCUGGUAUUUUGGGCAGUUCCACUUCCAAUGUGACUUUUCAUUGCAAUAGAAGCAUUCAGCCUCUUUUGGGUAAAAAGAAGGAGUGAUGAAACCUUUCUUGGUUCCACUUAAAGAAGAGCCAUCAAGGGUCCUAGGCUUGGUACCCUUCGAAGAGCUCUUUCUCUUCUUCCCUUGACUUUUCCCGAUUGCCAAAACCGGGGCAGAGUUUGGAGUAGGAGUGUUAACAACCGACUUCCCCUUAAGACUUGUUUCUGCGGUCUUGAGAAGUCCCUGAAGUUUGCUAAGUGUGACCUCUUCCUUAUUCAUGUGAUAUGUCAUGCGGAAUUGAUCAUAGCACGAUGGUAAGGAGUGCAAAAUGAUAUCUAUUGCAAGCUCCUCAGGGAAGUUCACAUUAAGCUUCAGCAAACGAUCCACAUACCUUUGCAUUUUCUGCAUGUGGCUCGUGACGGAUUCCCCGUCCUUCAUCAUGGUUGUUAUCAUUUAGCAAAUGAUUUCAUACCUCUCAUGUCGUGCACUUUGAUGGUAUCUUUCCAUCAGAUCUUGGUGCAUUUCAAAAGGGUAGAAGUCAUCAUAGGACUUUUGGAGUUAUGUUGCCAUCGUGGCCAACAUGAUGCAUGCCACUUUGGUAGCAUCCCUUUCAUGUGUCUGGAAAUCCGCAAUCUCCUGGCGAGUUGAAGUGGUCUCAUCAAUCUCCUUAAGCUCCUUGUCAAGGACAUAUUCUUUGUCCUCGUAGCGGGUAAUCAUCCUGAUGUUUCUGAUCCACUCAUUGAAGUUGGAUCCAUCAAAGGUGACUUUCCCACACAAGUUCAUAAGGGUAAAGGAGCCAUUAGGAUUAGAGCCAGAAGCAUUGUUGAAAGACAUCUGAAGAAAAGAGAACAAGAUUAGUUUAGAUAUAAGAGAGUCCUUAAUAAAACACCCAAAUGUAAUAUUAAGGCUAGGAUCCAAUCACAAUAUAAUAUAACUUAGAAGAGGUAUGCCGUAAUCUAAGCUAUAUCAUAUUUGAAAGGUAGGUGAAUGACGAUUCACCAAUUUCCACCACGAAAACCGCAAUAUUUUAGUAUUAGGUUUUUGAAUGGUUCUUAGAAAUUCCUAGAUUCUUUGAGAUUCAAUGAACUUUUCAAAGGCAUGUUUCAAUCUCGAGUGUGCCCUCCAAGUUUUGUGACUGGGAUACCGAGGAUCACAAAACGAGGUGUGAAGUAACCAUGCAAAUCACUUGGUACCCUUAAAGUUUAUCACUCAAUCGAUGUGCCGGUAAACCACACACGUUCCACCGAUACUAAGAUAAAUCUUAAGUCACCCUUUACCUACAUUGUUAAGUCCAAGUUAGUCUGCCGAUUAACCACACACACACUCCACCAACGACUUAAACAAAGUGUAAAGUGUAAUUUCAUGGAUUAGCACCUUAUUCACAUUUUUCCUAAAGUAACUAAGAUUGGGAAUUUAAUAAAACAUUUAGUUACUUUAUAAUAUUCAUCAUACUUUGAAUGAGAAUUAAUAAGUCCUUGUCUUACCCGUUCGGCUAACGACCCUCCACCGAUCAAGCAAGCGGUGGGUGAGAGUGGACACCCAUUAAGUCACCAUUUUAUAGGCAACAACCUUAUACCCACCUUAUAGACCGGCUUCGUGAAUGAGGCGUACUAGCGGUAAGACGACUUUGUUCUUAUACAUAUAUAUAUAAUUAUUAAAUCAUAAUAAUAUAAGUAUAAGGGUUGAAUUUUAACUUUUA
rnacentral:lncRNA from 1 species